rnacentral:lncRNA from 1 species
GUUGAUUAGGAAGAAACAUACCCCAGAACUUCUCAAGCUCAGGGGGACCCUUCUGAUUCUCAUCAAACAUAGCGAAUAUAUAAGUCUCUAUAGCUUUCCCUGGCUUUCUCGGAGUUCCACUCUUCACAUGUUGUAUCAAAUUAUUAACAUAAGUCAUUGCAUUCUCCACGCUAGUCCCUGCUCCUCCCUCCGUUGGCCAACCGCUCUCAGACACCACGAUUUCCAACGAUCCUCCCCCUGAUUUCUCCAAUGCUGCAUAGACCGCGUCAAGUUGGGCGUCGAAGAGGUUAUGGUAAGUGUACUGCCCGUCAAUGACUGGAGGGGUCGGUUUGAACAGAGCGUACGCUAGAGGGAUGUCUUUCAUGUCAUCCUUGUAGCUGAAGUAAGGGUAGCUAUUCAAGAGCAGAGGAGAUUGCUUGCUUACCAAGAAACCUAUCACCGGUUGGAGAAAGGUGAUAUAGUCAUCUCUGAAUCUUCCGUGAGACGGAGGGUACGUGUCCAUGGUGGCUCCCAUGUCUAUAGCCGUCGACACCUUGAUCCCAAGGCCUGCUCUAGAAACCGCGUUAUCGAUGUUUUUCAUGGCCUGGAAGAGAGCCCUCGCAGCUGGCUCCGAGGGUUCCACCUCGUUUCCGACCGUGAUGUACCUGAAUCUGACACCCUCGUAGUUCUUGACGUUGUUGCAGAUCCACGUGUCGGCCUCGGCUUGGCUGGAGGCGAUGCGUUCGAGGUCUGAUUUAGGAACGUCGAGGAUGAGCUCGAUGUUGGAGUUGCGGAGAGCGUUGAGAGUGUCAUGGUCGGGGUCGUAGAUUCGCAUCCUCUGGAUGUUGCGGUGCUUGUAAAGAGCCACCACAUCUGAUGGACUUGGCCGGGGAUUGCCUAACCUUCCAUAGCAUACUCCGAUUUGUGCAGCUAUAUAUAUCAUUAGUAAUAGAAUUGCAUCAAAUAAUGUAAUAUCAAUAUGGUCAUACGAUAUGAUUAAUGGGUGUUACAUAAGGUUAAAAGAUGAUUAUACACGUGGUGUCGGAAAAGGAAGCCAUUAGAAGGCUGAGAAGAAUCAGCAACAUUGGUGAUGAAGUCCAUGAGGAUAAUAUCCUUGAUUCAGACAUUUUCAUGAAAUAAACGUUAAGAUAUGAUUUUUAUGUUAUACUUUGAACCGUACCAUUGUGGAACUAAUAAAGGGAAAAAAACUAGUUUAACCCUAAUUCAUUAGUUAAUUACUGAAAUGACUCUAAUUUUAUUUUAAUUAUUAGUUUAGUUUUCAUACCUGUUUUACCCCUAAGUCCUUUGUUAUCAAAAAUAAAAAUUACGAAAAUGUCAUUACUCAGAGACUUAUUUUUCCACGUUUUAUGUAACCACAAACUUAUAUUUAUUUUUCUUCGGUGACAGAUUUAUCUUAAAUUAUAUAGACUUAACUAAAUUUCUACAUAUUUAUUCUAAUAAAUUUGUCACGUUUGGUCACAGAUUUAUUAAAUUCUUACAGAUUUAAUAAGAUUUAGUUUCCUUGACCACAAAUUUACUUAAUUUUGACAGAUUUAUAUAGAAUUUGAUAGAUUUGUUUUUUUUCUUUGCUACUGAUUUACCUAUUUUUGACAGAUUUAUUUGCGGUUUGACUGAUUUAUUAUCUUUUGACCAUGGAUUUACUUUAUUUUGACAGAUUUAAUAUGGAUUUGAUAGAUUUGUUUAUCUUUUGACCACAAAUUUAUUUACAAUUUGAUAGAUUUAUUUUACGUUGGCGACAGAUUUAAUACCGAUCACCAAAUUUAUUAAUUAUUUGGUCACAAAUUUAUUAAAUUCUACUUAACCGAACUGGUUACUGAAAACAGAUUUAACCAUUAAAUUCUGAACUGAUUUAGUUAACAUAAAAUUUUAAUUGAAAUAACCAAAAUCUUGCUAACUAACAAAUUUAGUUAAAUAAACGGAAAUAAAUUAAGUAAACAAAACUAUAACCCAAAAAAAACUGCAAGACUUGCAAGAUUCAAGUUUAGCUUAUGAUUAGUCCUUUUAUAUGCUUUCUGAAUUUUUAUAUAAACUACGUUUGUUUCUGGCUUUUCUGGUUAUGAACAAUUCUCUGUUGAAAUUGCAGGUGAUAUGUUGUAACCGUAUAGCAAAGCUUUCACUUGUCUUUCGUAUCUAUUUCUUGAGAUUUACUUAGAAAACAACAUGUCACGUGUGCAUUGUCCCUCUACUCUUUCUCUCUGUUUUAUAGUGCGAAUAUGGGGGUUCAAGCCAGUCAAUGGAUGAAGUACCAUUAAUAAAAUUUCCCAAAUCUAUAUAUGCUUUGAAAAGUCUACGAAUAUGAAUGUUAAUUUCUGCGAAAUUAGCUUUCAAUAGGGUCAAACUAGCUAGAGCGACUGAAUUGUUAAAUGAAUAAAUGGUAUCAAUCGCCCAAACACAAAUUUGUAUUCGGUUUUCAGAAUACUAAAUUUAAAUCAUUUUUGGUACUAGUUUGGUCGGAUCAUAUGGUAUUAUAACUUUAUAAGUCAUUCCAAUCACGCAUGACAGUUAAUUUAAACAUUAAAUAUCUAAAUAUUUCCAAAUAAUGGAUCCAUGCACACCCCCACUAUAAAAGGUUUUUAAGACUAAAUGCGAUGAGGACUUCGAUUUUGGCAUCAUGGUAAUGGUAGAAGACUAAAAAGCCGUUAAUCACACGUCAACCUAUAUACUAUAAUGGUCCAUUCGUUUUAUUUUGGUUGUCAUUUUAAGUUUAUGCAUACAAACUAAAAAUAUAUUUAAUUUUACAUAUUUUCAAUAUAAAACAUAAUUAUUUAUACACAUAAUCAUAUUUCAAUUAUAGAAAAAUAAAAUAGAAAAUAUUAUUAAUAAAUUUUGCAUUGAAAUUAUAAAACUAUAUUUAUUUUGAAACAAAAUUUGUUUUUUACGACAACAAUUAAACUGAAACGGAAGAAGUAUAUUCUUAUUGUUAAGUAAAUAAUAUAUAGAUAAGGGUAUUGAAGCCUCCAACUCUAUACUUAUGUCAUUAGACAAACUAGGUAGCCAUCAUCAAUUAUGGUAAGAUGAUUUUUGUUACUAAUAAUUCCUCUAAUUAUCUUUCAAAGUUCUAUAGUUAGCCAAAGAAAGUUCGUUUGGGGUCGAUCUCUGGUAUGGACGAUAAAAAAUAGACGCAUGAUGGCUUUGGUUUAGGCUUGUGUUACGUCCAAUCGUUUGUUUUAUCUAAGAUUUAUAAGUUUUGUUUUAUUAUGAACACUCGAUCGAGCGAUCAACUCUCCAUCAGGAUCCCAGAUCAUAGACAACGUGGCUUCCUCCCUCAUGGCGGAAUCGUUGGCUCUCAGACAAGGUAUCAAAGAAGCCCUAAGACUAGGGAGGAGAUCAGCUUCGUUUCACUCCGACUGCGCAACGCUCAUCAGAGCAAUCUCAAUCCAAAUUCAGAUCAAGGAGAUCUAUGGUGUUCUUCAGGAUAUCAAGCAUCUCUCGGCAAAAUUUGAUCGUAUCAACUUCCUGCAUAUCUCCCGUUCCCAGAACAGAGAGGUAGACUAUCUAGCUAAAAUGGCCUUUAAGACCCAUCCGUUUUCUUCUUGCUAUGUUAUGGGCUAGCCUUUGGGCCUAAACCUUCAUUUGUUUCAGUUUUUAAGUUUUAAUAUAAUCAGUUGUUCAAAAAAAAAGUUUUAUUAUGAACAAAAAAUAUCAUAUAUAUAUUGUAGAUUUUAAAACCACUCUCGUUAUAUUAUUAUACUAUGGAAAUGGAAACAUAAGUAAAACAUAGCUUAAGGCUCAUCUAUCUUAUUAAAACUCAAGUACAAAAUUGGAGUGUUUGGAGACUUGAAUAGGACUUUUAAAAAUUUGGAGUGUUUGGAAACAUGGAUUGCAGUCUUUAAAAAAAAAUAUUUUUGUUUGAAAACAAGGAUAGUAGUAUUAAGAAAAAAAGUAAUGGGCUUAUGUUUUUUUUAAAAAUUGAAAGUUAUCUAGGCCACUUUUAAAAUAUACCAAAAUGGGUCAAUCUAAUUCCCUAAAAAAUUUUUUUCUAAACUAACCAUAAAACAAAAUUUAAACUUUAUAUACAUAUUUCAAAUCAAAAUAAUAAUUCAAAUUUGAUUUAUAUCAAAAAUUGAUUCAAAAAUAUACAUAUAUUCAAAAAUGGAUUUUUACUAAACUAUUUUUCAAUAACCAUUAUAAAAAAAUAUUGUCAAUAUAUAUAAGAAAAAUAUAAUACAAAGCCCAAUUUGAAAUACCAACUCAAAUUAUGGUUUUCAUAUUUCAUAUUAAGUUUUAAAAAUAUAAUAUAUGUAAUUAUUUAUAUGAUGGUAUGUAUAAAAUACUAUUAAUUAUAUGAUUACUUAUAUGAUGGUACAUAUAAAAUACGAUUAAUUAUAUGAUGAUAAAAUACGAUAUAUAAUAAUGACUAGGGAUGGGCUUUUGGAUACCCAUACGGGUUUAGUUCUGAUCGGUUUGUAUUUUGGGUUUUCGGGGUCAAAGAUUUCAGCCUUAUUAGAAUGUUUCUAAAUUUUGGUUUGAGUUCGAUUUGGAUCUUUGCGGGUUUGGUUUGGGUUUGGAUAACUAAUUUAAAUUAUUUUUAAAGUCUUAAAUCAUUAUAUAUUUUAAAUUUCUCAAAAUGUAUAAAUAAAAUAAUAUAUUACGUAUAAAUUUGAAUAACAUAUGUCAUAAUACUUAAGCUUAACAUAUCAAUUGGCUUGAUUUAAAAUUUUGGAUACGAAAUCAAUAAUUAUUUUAAGUAUUUUUGGUGAUUUGAGUAUACUUUAACUAUUUCAGAUAUUUACUUUUGACUAUCUAUAUAUAUUUUCAAGUAUUUAAACCAAUUUAAAAGUAUCAUUUUUGAUGUUUUAUAUACGUUAAAUCUAAAAAUAAUCAAUAUAUAUAAGUAUAUAAAUCUAUUUUUAGAUAAAUUCGGAUACCCAAAUACUUCGGUUCGGAUCAGAUUUGGUUCUCUAAAUAACAAAAUUUUGAAUAAUUAGAAUAUUUAAUCAAUUUAUGUUUGGGUUUGGUACUAUAUCUUUGGAUCGGUAUCGGUUAUGUUCCUCGGAUUCAUUUUCCCAAAUCCUAAUAAUUACAUGAAAAACAAAUAUCAACAUAUUUUUCAAAAUAUACACCCGCGCGCCUGCGCGGGUCAAAAUCUAGUUAUUCUUUAUUGUUACAACAAGUUCUCACUUUUUAAUACUCAAAUAAUACUUAAAUAGCUGUUCAUUGCAUCACUAGCCAUUGCUUCUUCAAGAUGUCUCUUCAAGCAUAGAUGAAAUUAACAUUAUACUUAGGCUGUUGACUAGGAAGAAACAUCCCCCAGAACUUCUCAAGCUCAGGAGGACCCUUCUUAUUCUCAUCAAACAUAGCGAAUAUAUAAGUCUCUAUAGGUUUCUUUCGCUUUCUCGGAGUUCCAGUAGUAGUCACAUGUUGUAUCAAAUUAUUAACAUAAGUCAUCGCAUUUUGUACACUAGUCCCGGGUCCUCCCUCCGUGGGCCAACCACUCUCCGACACCACGAUCUCCAACGAUCCGCCACCUGAUUUCUCCAAUGCUGCGUAGACUGCGUCAAGAUUGGCGUCAAAGAGGUUUUGGUAAGCGUACUGGUCGUCAUUGACUAGACUGGAUGGUGAAGUGAACAGAGCGUACUCUAGAGGGAUGGUGUCCAUGUUGUCCUUGUAGCUGAAGUAAGGGUAGUUAUUUAAGAGCAGAGGAGAUUGCUUGCUUAUACCAAGAAAUCUAUCACCGGUUGGAGAAAGUUUUUAUACUCAUCCGUGAAUGUUCCUUGCGACGGAGGAUAAGUGUUCAUGGUGGCUCCCAUGUCUAUAGCCGUCGACACCUUGAUCCCCAGCCCUGCUCCAGAAACCGCGUUAUCUAUGUUCUCUGCAUUGCCUGGAAGAGAAUCCUCCCAGCUGGCUCCGCGGGUUUCACCUCAUUUCCGACCGUGAUGUACCUGAAUCUGACACCGUCGUAGUUCUUGACGUUGUCCCGGACCCACGUGUCGGCCUCAGCUUGGCUGGAGGCAACACGGUCAAGGUCUGUUUUGGGAACGUCGAGGAUAAGCUCGAUGUCGGAGUUGCGAAGAGCGUUGAGAGCUUCUGGGUCCGGAGCGUUAAGCCGCAUCCGCUGGAUGUUUCUCUGCUUGUAAAGAGCCACAACGUCCGAUGGAUUCGGUCGGGGGUCGCCUAACAUCCCGUAGCAUACUCCGAUUUGUCCAGCUAAUCAUUAACAAUGAAAUUGCAUCAAAUAAUUUAAUAUUAUAUAACAUAACCAAAUAACCAAUAUGGUCAUAUAUCAUUACUGGGUGUUAUAUAAGCUUAAAAGAUUAUUCAACCUGUGGUGUCGAAGAAUGAAGCCAUUAGAAGGCUGAGAAGAACCAGCAACAUUGGUGAUAAGGAUACUAUCCUUGAUUCAGACAUUUUCAUGAAACAAAUGUUAAGAUAAGAUUUUUAUGUUAUACUUUGAACCGUACCAUUGUGCACCUAAUUUAUAGUGCGAGUAGGUUCAAGUCGGUCAUUGGAUGAAAUAUCAGUAACAAAUAUUUCUCUAGAUCUAUGCUUUGAAAAGUCUACGAAUAUUAGUUUCCUGCAGAAGUAGCUUUCAGUAUGGUCAAAGUAGCUAGAGAGACUUAAGUGUUACGUUGGAUCAAUCGCACAAAACAAAAUUGUAUUUGGUUUUCAGUAUACUCACAUUUAAAUCAUUCUUGUGUUUUCUUUGGGUGCUAGCUAGGUCGGUUCAUGGUAGGGAGGUACACGAAUCAAAUCUAGCUAGGUCGGUUCAUGGUAGGGAGGUACACGAAUCAAAUAUACGAAGCGUUGGAGGUAUUUGUGAUCCAAUCCAUUUUAUCUGAACAAUCAAUUAUUCAAUUCGGUUUGAUCCAUAUUUAUUUGAAUACUCGAUUAUCGGAUAACCAGAAAUUUUAUAUUCUUAACUGAACAUUCGAUUUGAUUCGAUUCGAUCCAUAAAAAUAAAAUUGAAACAAAUAAAUAAAUACCCAAAAUAAUGUAAAAUAAUAAUAUAUUUAUUACUAAAAUAAAAAUCACUUAUCUUUUACAUUUUUAAUAACUAGAAUAAUAAAUUUAAGAAAGAAAAAUAUUGUAAAACUGACAUACCAUAGAAUAAUAAAUUUAAGAAAGAAAAAUAUUGUAAAACUUACAUACCAUAGAAUAAUAAAUUUAAAGCUAUGACAGUACAAACAUAAGAGACUCAUGAUUAGUUAGAUCAUCUCCAAUAGUUUACUUUAUUUUUUAUUCUAAAAUAGAGUAAUUCUAUAAUAGAAUUUGAAUGGUACUAUGUUUUAGAGUAGAAAAUAGCAGUGUUCUAAAAUACGGUCUAGACGGCGUUUAGACGCUAUACAAUAACCAACCAUACUGUUUUUAUGUUAUACAGUGUUUUAUGCAGAUUUAUAUAAUUCAGGCGAAUAAUAGUGUUUAGGCGGACAUUAUACAGUCUACUCGAACGCCUAGGCGGAUUUUAAGAAUUAAUAUUCAAAAAAUAAACUAUUAAUAUUAUUAUUAUAUUUUAUUAGUGUUAUUAUUUAUAUUACUUCUACUUAUUUUAUGUAUUUAUAUGAUUGUAGAUAUUAGUAUAAUUGUUACAAAAUCCUUUUCAAUUUAUCAUCUUUAUAUAUUUAAAAUGGCUUUAAUUUUUAUAAUUUAAAACUAUUUAUAUAUGUUAAACUAUAUACUUAUACAUAAAAGUAGAUUUAAAAUAUAUUUAUGUUCAGUUUUUUCAAAAACAAUGUAUAUAUAUUAAUCUUAUACUUAUACUUUGUGUAAAAGUAUAUAUUUGUAUAUACUUUUUAGGCGUCCGCCUAUACGGCUAAGCACUAUACAGUCAUCUAACGCGUAAUAAACGUCUAGCGCGUUUUAGAACACUGGAAAAUAGAAUGAUGAAAAAAAAAAUAAGUUGUUGCCAAAAAAAAAACAAAAAAAAAUAAAUUAAUCUAUAUUUGGAAUAAACGUAUUCUUACUCUAUUAUAAAGUGAAAAAUAGAGUAUCAUUAAAAUACUUUUACUCUGAACUCUAUUUUAAAUUGAAAAAUAGAGUGAAAUCGAGGAUGCUCUUAAUACUUAGUAAUAAUUUUACCUAAUUAUUUCCCCAACUUUUUUUACCGUAUUGUCUGCAUGGUGGGCACAGUAUAAGCCGUUAAUCACACGUCAAUCACACGUCAAUCGUUGACCAUGUAAUUAUAUAUCCUUAAGUCAUUAGACAAACUAGCCAUCAUCAAUUAAUGGCAAGCUGACUUGGUUACUAAUAAUUCCUCUAAUCAUCAGUCAAAGUUCUGUCAUUUACGUCUCUAAUAUAGAGAUCUCUAAAACAUAGAAAAAAAUAGAGAUAGAAGUGUUUACUCCAAUGUGUUCCUUUAUAAUAAAAAAAUGCUAUAUUUAUCUCUAUAAAUAGAGGAAUACUAUUUUUUCCUCUAAAUAGGGAAAAAAUAGCAUUCAUCUAUAACCAUCUCCAAUAUAUUUUGUUAUUUUCACUUCUAAAAUAGAUGAACUUUAUAAUAGAAGUAAAAAAUAGAGGAAUACUAUUUCUUCCUAUAUAAAUAGCGGUAAAAAUAGAAAUCUCUAUUAUAGAGAAAGAAAUAGAUGUGGAUUAGAGCAAUUUCACCUAUAAAUGCUAUUAUAGAAGUAGCAAUGGGUGAGAAAUGCUCUAGAGUCAAAUAUAGCAUUCCUCUAUUAUAGAAGAACACAUUGAAGAAAAACUCCAUCUCUAUUUUUUUUCUCUAUUUUAGAAAUCUAUAUUUUAGAGAUGGUCAGAGAUGGUCUAAUAGCCAUAGAAAGUUUUUCUGGGGUCAAUUUACGUUUUGGACGACGAAAAAAACACAUGGUGGCUUUAGUUAGGCUUGUGUUACGUCCAAACGUUUGUGUUACUAUGAACUAAAAUAAUAUAUGUAUAUACAUUGUAGAAAUUAAACCACACUCUCAUUAUAUUAUAGAAACAGAUGGAGUAAAACAUAGAUUAAGGCUCAUUAUUCCUUUAUCAUUACAACAUGUUCCCUCUUUUUAAUACCAAUACAGAAAAGACCAUCAAAUAAUAGAUAUAAAGCAUUUUAUUGUAUCACUAGCCCUUGCUUAGUAUCUUCAAGGAUUUUAGCUGAAAUUAACAUCAUACUUAGGCUGUUGACUAGGAAGAAACAUCCCCCAAAACUUCUCAAGCUCAGGAGGACCCUUCUGAUUCUCAUCGAACAUAGCGAAUAUAUAAGUCUCUAUAGGUUUCUCUCGCUUUCUCGGAGUUCCACCCUUCACAUGUUGUAUCAAAUUAUUAACAUAAGUCAUCGCAUUAUCCACACUAGUCCCUGGUCCUCCCUCCGUGGGCCAACCACUCUCCGACACCACGAUUUCCAACGACCCUCCGCCUGAUUUCUCCAGUGCUGCGUAGACCGCGUCAAG